rnacentral:rRNA from 1 species
AGAGUUUGAUCAUGGCUCAGAACGUACGCUGGCGGCACGCCUAACACAUGCAAGUCGAACGCAGUAGUAAUACUGAGUGGCGAACGGGUGAGUAUAAUGUGGGUAUCUGCCUUUUGGUUUGGAAUAACGCGAGGAAACUUGUGCUAAUACCGUAUAAGCCUUUACAGGGAAAGCUUUAGCGCCGAAAGAUGAGCUCACACUUGAUUAGCUAGUUGGUAAGGUAAUAGCUUACCAAGGCUACGAUCAAUAGCUGAUCUGAGAGGAUGAUCAGCCACAUUGGGACUGAGACACGGCCCAGACUCCUACGGGAGGCAGCAGUGGGGAAUCUUGCACAAUGGGGGAAACCCUGAUGCAGCGAUGCCGCGUGAGUGAAGAAGGCCCUUGGGUUGUAAAGCUCUUUCGUCGGGGAAGAAAAUGACUGUACCCGAAUAAGAAGGUCCGGCUAACUUCGUGCCAGCAGCCGCGGUAAUACGAAGGGACCUAGCGUAGUUCGGAAUUACUGGGCUUAAAGAGCACGUAGGUGGUUAAGAAAGUUGGUGGUGAAAUCCCAAGGCUUAACCUUGGAACUGCCACCAAAACUUUUUAACUAGAGUGUGAUAGAGGUAAGCGGAAUUUCUAGUGUAGAGGUGAAAUUCGUAGAUAUUAGAAAGAACAUCAAUUGCGAAGGCAGCUUUCUGGAUCAUUACUGACACUGAGGUGCGAAAGCAUGGGUAGCGAAGAGGAUUAGAUACCCUCGUAGUCCAUGCCGUAAACGAUGUGUGCUAGACGUUGGGAAUUUAAUUCUCAGUGUCGCAGCAAAAGCGUUAAGCACACCGCCUGGGGAGUACGACCGCAAGGUUAAAACUCAAAUGAAUUGACGGGGACCCGCACAAGCAGUGGAGCAUGUGGUUUAAUUCGAAGAUACGCGCAGAACCUUACCAACUCUUGACAUGUUCGUCGCGACU